rnacentral:tRNA from 1 species
GGGGCUGUAGCUCAGCUGGAAGAGCGCUUGAAUGGCAUUCAAGAGGUCAGGGGUUCAACUCCCCUCAGCUCCACCA